rnacentral:rRNA from 1 species
UACGGGGGGGGCAAGCGUUGUUCGGAAUUACUGGGCGUAAAGGGCUCGUAGGCGGCCAACUAAGUCCGACGUGAAAUCCCAAGGCUUAACCUUGGAACUGCGUCGGAUACUGGAUGGCUUGAAUUCGGGAGAGGGAUGCAGAAUUCCAGGUGUAGCGGUGAAAUGCGUAGAUAUCUGGAGGAAUACCGGUGGCGAAGGCGGCAACCUGGACCGACAUUGACGCUGAGGAGCGAAAGCUAGGGGAGCAAACGGG